UAAUACGGAGAGUGCAAGCGUUGUUCGGAAUCAUUGGGCUUAAAGAGCGUGUAGGCGGAAUGUCAGGUGCCGUGUGAAAGCCCCGGGCCCAACCCGGGAAUGGCAUGGCAAACCGGCAUUCUUGAGGCAGGUAGAGGUGACUGGAACAACUGGUGGAGCGGUGAAAUGCGUAGAUAUCAGUUGGAACGCCGGAGGCGGAAGCGGGUCGCUGGACCUGUCCUGACGCUGAGACGCGAAAGCGUGGGUAGCGAAGAGGAUUAGAUACCCUCGUAGUCCACGCCGUAAACGAUGCGCACUAGGUAUGAGAGGUUCUGACGCCGAUCGUGCCGCAGCAAAAGUGAUAAGUGCGCCGCCUGGGGAGUACGGCCGCAAGGCUA
rnacentral:rRNA from 1 species